ensembl:lncRNA
UGGCUUUCUAUAGCUUACAUAUGUCUAGCCAUCCGCAUACAGUACACACACUCCACAGUUCCUUCAUCCUCUGUAAGUCUUCAAUCAAGAGUUCUGGGCUUCACUCUGGCUGGUGAUUUAGCCACCUGCCACUCUUUUCUGCUGUUUACAAAGUCUUGGAGACACACAUGAGCUGUUAGUGUUUGGGAUUAGAAGUGCAGACUUGGAUGCUAGUGAUCAAAAGCUGCCCAUGACACUGAAACUCCAAUAUCACUCUCUAAAGUUGCUCUCCUUCAUGCUGCAAGUGAUUAGCGCCUCGUCCGAAGCAUCAUCAAAGCUCUCUCUCUCUCUCUCUGUCUCUCUCUCUCUCUGGGCAGCUGUGUCCCUACAGGACUAUGAGCAUGUGUGAUGUUUAGCUUCUUUUGGUAAAUCCAGGGCUUUGUGUCACCCACUCCCCAGGUCCUCUUACCCUACCACUGUGACAUGGCCGCCGGUGGCACAUUGACGCCUGUAUCCAUCCCUGACGGAGCUAAGCCGGAUCAGUCGUGUCGUCGGCGCUCUCUCGCUCCUUCCUCCCGGAACAUAAUCACAGUCAGUCUGCAGCCUCAGAAAUCCCCCAUCAUCACAUGCACUUCCACCACCACCAUCAUCGUCAUCAUCAUCAUCAAAGGCUCCACCAUGUAUGUCAAUCAGGUAGCUCGAGCUGGAGGCCAUGGAGAAGCAGAUUUGCAACUUGGUGGAGAAGCAGGCCCCUCUGAGAGAGGAGAGCUGCACUGGAAACAUCCUGGGCUGACGCUCACAAGUCCGGGCUAAGUAUACAGCGCACUGCUAACUCUCCCACCAGGUUCUGUGCACCCAGGACGCAUUCUUCCCAGAUGUUCUUCACUCCGGCGCCAUGACAUCAUGGACCCUGGGUGCACCCGCAGUGGAAGGCGCAAUCCAGGCCCCAGGCAAUAACCUCUGCCCCUCCGCCGCCUCCGGUCUUCGAGAUCUCCCACGCAUUGAUGAGGACACGAAAAGGUCAGUAGACUUUUUGCUUUAAAUUAAUGGUUAUUGUCAAGGUGUUAAGAACAGAAACUGCUCUUUGUUAAUAAUUGGAAUCUUUUCUAGGAGCGUCCUAGGCAUUUUUGCACUGAUGGCCUGCACCCCAGCAGAGUCGGAGCGGAACUCCUGUCGGACAACAUCUCCAGGACGCUACGUUCCAUAUGACUAGUAACCCAAUUCUCAAAUAACUGCUAUGAUGGCUUUUGUUCUACCCGCACUGUCCAGUCUAUUAAGACUGUGUCUGUUCCCCGAAUAGU